rnacentral:rRNA from 1 species
GUGAAACAGACCAGCGCCGAUGGUAGUGUGGCGUUGCCCAUGUGAGAGUAGGUCAUCGUCAGGC